AGUGGCGAACGGGUGAGUAAUAUAUCGGAACGUGCCCAGUCGCGGGGGAUAACGUAGCGAAAGUUACGCUAAUACCGCAUACGAUCUACGGAUGAAAGCGGGGGACCGUAAGGCCUCGCGCGAUUGGAGCGGCCGAUAUCAGAUUAGGUAGUUGGUGGGGUAAAGGCUCACCAAGCCAACGAUCUGUAGCUGGUCUGAGAGGACGACCAGCCACACUGGAACUGAGACACGGUCCAGACUCCUACGGGAGGCAGCAGUGGGGAAUUUUGGACAAUGGACGCAAGUCUGAUCCAGCCAUUCCGCGUGCAGGAUGAAGGCCCUCGGGUUGUAAACUGCUUUUGUACGGAACGAAAAGGUCUCUAUUAAUACUAGGGGCUCAUGACGGUACCGUAAGAAUAAGCACCGGCUAACUACGUGCCAGCAGCCGCGGUAAUACGUAGGGUGCAAGCGUUAAUCGGAAUUACUGGGCGUAAAGCGUGCGCAGGCGGUUAUGUAAGACAGAGGUGAAAUCCCCGGGCUCAACCUGGGAACUGCCUUUGUGACUGCAUAGCUAGAGUACGGUAGAGGGGGAUGGAAUUCCGCGUGUAGCAGUGAAAUGCGUAGAUAUGCGGAGGAACACCGAUGGCGAAGGCAAUCCCCUGGACCUGUACUGACGCUCAUGCACGAAAGCGUGGGGAGCAAACAGGAUUAGAUACCCUGG
rnacentral:rRNA from 1 species